AGUACUACCUUCGUGAUCCCACACUCCUAAUCAUAUAAGCCAAAAUGUUGCACAUUCAAUCUUUGGAAGAUAUAAACAAAACAAAAAUAUAGAUAGAUUAUCUUUACAUUAGGUCGAGCGAUCUGAUUUGACAAAUGUUUUAAAUGCAACACUCAUGAUCUUAUUAUCCAUCAACUUUGUGUUGCUCACUAUGCUUAAGGUUAGAGAAGAACAAAUACACUUUUGGUUCUGUUGGUGUUUUUCACCAACAGGGCCUAUGCACUUGAUCUCUGCCUUGUCUCUAUGAGCAGGUACACUUCGAGCAAAACCGGAAGGAGUUUUACAACUCCCAGAUUCCACCAAGUGAAGGACUUGGAUCUACGAGCACAAACACACUGAGCAGAAUGCUGCCAAUGCCGCACCUUGAACUGCUGAACAAACGAAGAACAUGGGUGACACCGUAUCAAGAGGUACAGACGUCAAAGUCCACACUUAAUCAAAUGAUGCACCUAAAGGAGGAACACGGUGAGAAGUCUUGUCCCGAAGACUUAAAACAUUGGAUCCUUGCCGGAAGGUAAAAUCGGUAUUUAUCCAUAUUUAUCUGCAUUCCUUUUCCUUUUUAUUGCAUCACUUGCAUUAGCAUAUUUACUUUUCCACAUUAGCAUUAGAAAAGAAAACAAAAAUAUUUGUUCGUUGCACUGCAUCAUAAAAUCUAAAGCCCCAUGUGAGUAGACUUGUGGUUUAAAACCCAUAGGUAUAUUGAUUGUGGUGGCAUAAAAUAAAUAUGUUUUCAUCUUACAAUAAAAAUAUAAAAAUAAUAAGUGCAUGAUCCUGCUAAAUAAAUAAAAUUUAUUAGAAGGAAUCUCAAUAUGAUAAAGGCUAAGAGAUUUUAUGCUAACACUUAACCAGUUCCACAAAACUUUGUUGUCUAUUUGAGCUCCACAGAAUUUAAGGAUCAAAGAAGACUAGCCGGCGGAGGACAUAGUAAUUGCUGUCAGGGUGCUGCCGACAUUCAAAUACACCUCCGCCACCUGCUAGCUACAUCAGAAGAAAUUACGUCAAAAUCCAGCUUGGGAGAGAGCACCCCCAUUUAUCUAGCUAAGUGUUUCUACUCGCGUUUAUACAUUACUCAAAUAAAAAAAGAUGCAUAAUCAUAAAAACCCAAAUAAAGAUUUUGUGCUUUUAUAUAAAUCUUUGCUUAGUUUGCUAAAUAAAUAAAUAAAUAAAGUUUGCUAUGAACCCUCAUGAUAAACUCUUACAUGGAUAUGAUAAAUAGUUGCUCUGUCAUGUACCUAGUUUUCAAGUUUGAGCUCUCUCUCAAGUUUAGGCAUAACUGUUAUAAUUUAAACCUGCUCUAAACCUGAACUUAUGGGAAGAGUACUUGAUCUAAAGUCUAAGUCGUUAACGGAUACGAUAUGGGAAGGUUGAGCUGCUGUUUAUCUGUUCCUAGACAUGCAAGAAUUCUGGAGAAUUUUAUCUUUGAAAAUCUUUAAAAUGUUGCAUGAUGAGUUCUUGUAUGAUGAGAGUUUAAAAUCCUACCACAGCCAUAUAUACAUGCUUAUUAGACUAUGAGCCAUACAUUUACUUUUUACUGCUUAUGAGCAUUGUGUUCAAGCUGUGUAGACCCUUAGGAGCUUGUCAUGCGGUUAAAAUCAAGAUUCACUUGCACGUUCACUCAUAUAUGCUGCUUCUACUCCGAAAGUACGCAUCCACAUACAUCCACACAUUUCCAUAUCCAGAUUCACCCAAAAUUAUUCUACUCCUAUCUAGGAGAGAAUAGCCAAAAACAUUAUCCUAUCCCUAUUAUUCCUCGUGAAAUAAAUGCUCGAGAUAUUUUGGUUACUACCACUUGCUACAUUAUUCCAGGAGAGUGAGUGCUCUGAAAAAAAGAGAAGAAAAAAAUAUACGAGGAAAUAAAAAGGGGCAAGUGCCCGGAACCUCGAAGAAAAGAAAAAGUGAGACGAGAGGUAAAAAUAGACAAGUGUCCGAUAGUAGAAUUAGGGAUACAAGAUACCCACCUGAGAGAAAAAGAAAAAGAAAAUAUAGAGCAUCUCAUUCUCCUCAAAAAGCUUCAAAGUGCAAGAAAGGUAUGUAUCCCCUUAAAAGAGCAAAAGUAGAAUUAGACUUUCACCAUUGUUAUCAUCAUACACCAUUCAUUCGCCACACAUGCACAUCUUGAUUUGACUUAUUGACUUGUUCUUCUGGAUCUAUGGUUUGACUAUGCAAUAAAUGUCUUGUAAGUAUGUAUUAUCUGUCUCCCACCUAUGAGCUCCAGAUAUCAAAACCUUAUUAGAGUAGGGUGAGAGAGAAGGCAAUAUCACUAUGCCUCAUACCAAAAAUACCACAUACUUUGAGAGAAGGCAUAUACCAUUAUUGCCUUGGAAAGGAUCCAGAAAUACCACAAAAAGAGAGAUUUGAGAGAGUCAUACAAGGAAUCUCUGAGUUUUAUUUGAAAAUCUGCAAAAACUCCAGAACUAUAGUUAAUCGAAGAACAAGAGACAUGACGCUUGACUAGACCGUUCUAUCUUUUAACUGCUCAAGACACAAGUGACGGUUGCAAGCCCUAUGGUGGAAGGAAAAAUGAGUAAGUUUUAAGUCUUAACUGUUUACUCUAACUCAGAGAAGAGAUCUUGCUUGAAUGCAUGUGUACUUUUAAGGCAUGAAACCACUGCAGAAACUCUUGAGUUCAUCCUUGCUCAGGGACGAGCAAGAGGUAAGCUUGGGGGAUUGUUGACGGUCCUUAAGUACCAAAUUUAAUCAUCAAAUAAAUAAAGAAAAGGAUCCAAAUGCAACCAACACCUAGACUUAGGGUUUUAUCUGAUAGAAUUCCACGAGUUUUGGUGUUUGUCUAUUUCUGCAGGGGGUUAUCAGGAAAUAUGGAGAAAAGGCCCAC
rnacentral:lncRNA from 1 species